CCUACGGGUGGCAGCAGUGGGGAAUAUUGCGCAAUGGGCGAAAGCCUGACGCAGCGACGCCUCGUGAGGGAUGAAGGUCUUCGGAUCGUAAACCUCUGUCAGCAGGGAAGAACGGUCACUGUGCUAAUCAGCAGUGAAUUGACGGUACCUGCAAAGGAAGCACCGGCUAACUACGUGCCAGCAGCCGCGGUAAUACGGAGGGUGCGGGCGUUAAUCGGAAUUACUGGGCGGAAAGCGCUCGUAGGCGGUAUGUCAAGUCAAGGGGGAAAUCCCCGCGCUCAACGUGGGAACUGCCUUUGAAACUGGCAAACUGGAGUGUGUGAGAGGAUAGUGGAAUUCCAGGUGUAGGAGUGAAAUCCGUAGAUAUCUGGAGGAACAUCAGUGGCGAAGGCGACUAUCUGGCACAUAACUGACGCUGAGGAGCGAAAGCGUGGGUAGCAAACAGGAUUAGAUACCCCAGUAGUC
rnacentral:rRNA from 1 species